rnacentral:rRNA from 1 species
GACGAACGUUGGCGGUGUGCCUAAUACAUGCAAGUCGAACGGUGAUCUUAUGGGAGCUUGCUUCCAUUUGAUUAUAGUGGCGAACGGGUGAGUAACGCGUUGGUGAUCUGCCUCGAAGUGUGGAAUAACGUUCCGAAAGGGACGCUAAUACCGCAUGUGCUCAAGAUUUUUAGAAAGUUUUGAGUAAAGGAUUUAUUCGCUUUGAGAGGAGCCUGCGUCCCAUCGGCUAGUUGGUAAGGUAACGGCUUACCAAGGCUAUGACGGGUAGGGGACCUGAGAGGGUGGCCCCCCACAAUGGAACUGAAACACGGUCCAUACACCUACGGGUGGCAGCAGUAGGGAAUAUUAGAAAUGGGCGAAAGCCUGAUCUAGCGACACCGCGUGUGCGAUGAAGGCCUUCGGGUUGUAAAGCACUUUUUGGAAGGAAUAGGAAGGAAGGUACCUCCAGAAUAAGUCUCGGCUAACUACGUGCCAGCCGCCGCAGUAACAC